rfam:Triticum aestivum genome assembly, contig: Triticum_aestivum_CS42_TGACv1_scaffold_130407_2BL
AUCAUACUUCCUUCGUUCGGAAAUACUUGUCAUCAAAUUGAGUUAAAGGGGAUGUAUCUAGAUGUAUUUUAGUUUUAGAUACAUCUCUUUUUGUCCAUUUGGAUGACAAGUAUUUUCGGACGGAGGGAGUACAAA